rnacentral:rRNA from 1 species
UACGUAGGCAGCGAGCGUUGUUCGGAAUUACUGGGCGUAAAGAGUGUGUAGGCGGUGCUCUAAGUUCGGUGUGAAAUCUCCCGGCUUAACUGGGAGGGUGCGCCGGAAACUGGAGUGCUCGAGCGUGGGAGAGGAAAGCGGAAUUCCUGGUGUAGCGGUGAAAUGCGUAGAUAUCAGGAGGAACACCUGUGGCGAAAGCGGCUCACUGGACCACAACUGACGCUGAGGCGCGAAAGCUAGGGGAGCAAACAGG